UGUGCUAGAAAAGUGGGUUAGGUUAGGUUAGAACUGCGACCAUACAGAAACAAACUUGUGCUAGAAAAGUGGGUUAGGUUAGGUUAGAACUGCGACCAUACAGAAGCAAACAUUUGCUAAAAAAAUGGGUUAGGUUAGGUUAGGUUAGAACUGCGACCCUACAGAAACAAACCUUUGCCACAAACUCUUAUGGCAAGGACUCAUAGGUCAAGUAAGAACUGCGACCGUGAGGGUCGGGAACAAACUUUUGUUAGAAAAUUAAGGAUUUAUUGAACUUUUGAUA